GCCGAAGUGGUGGAACUGGUAGACACGCUGUGUUCAGGGCGCAGUGGGCUUUCGCCCGUGAGAGUUCGAAUCUCUCCUUCGGCA
rnacentral:tRNA from 3 species